UGAGGAAUAUUGGGACAAUGGAUGGAAAUCUGAUCCAGCCAUGCCGCGUGCAGGAAGACGGUCCUAUGGAUUGUAAACUGCUUUAGCAUGGGAGCAAUAAGGUGUACGCGUACACCGAUGAGAGUACCAUGAGAAUAAGCACCGGCUAACUCCGUGCCAGCAGCCGCGGUAAUACGGAGGGUGCAAGCGUUAUCCGGAUUUAUGGGUUUAAAGGGUGCGUAGGCUGUAAGUCAAGUCAGCGGUGAAAAGUCGGGGCUAAACCUUGAGGGUGCCGUUGAAACGUG
rnacentral:rRNA from 1 species